CCCCGUGCUGCUGUUUGGCGCUCUGCCUCGCGGGAGACGACUCGAGCCCCUACGCCGCGUGCGGACCACUGCCCCGGAGCGGAACGCGUGUACGACCCGAGAGCGCAACAUGUCUGGAGCGCGUGGGGCAGAUGCCGUCCACCUCACCUGCUUCUUCCGGACACCAAGCGGGGACCAUGCCGGCGGACAGAUGUGGCGCCUCACGUGGAUUGUAUUUGUUUCCCUGUUUAUUUACGGCACAUCAGCACAAGGUAGGUGGUGCUCUCAUUUACAUAACUUAUUUAUUCGCAGUCAUUUAUUGAUUUCUAUCCCAAUCAAUUGUGUUGUCCGUUGUUAUAUGCUAUUUUCCAUUUCCUCCCGUGAAAAACUCAGAUACAGUAUUGUUACCCUCUGCUAAAGCGGCCCUUCUAAUGACUUGCUCUAGCUCACAUUCUCAUGCUUACUUAUGGUCAUUACUUGUUGAUGGUGCGUCAG
ensembl:lncRNA